GCCUUUCCUCCAGUGUGGCGACUGUCAAGUGACGGUUGUCAGACACAGGCUCCAGGAAGGUCCCAUAACGGGGCCAGACAGGUAAUUCUCAAAGACACAGUGGAGAGAGUUUCUCUAGUUACAGCGUUACUCUGGAUUACAGUACAGCGACUGAAGAAAGGCCAGUCUCUGGCACCUGAGGGCACCUUAGCAGCUUUUGACAAAAAGGUGUCAUUGGAAGAUGACACUAGCUAAGUAAUAAGGUAAGAGUUAUCACCAGCUUUCAGCCUCACUGUGUUUGAAAAGUACAACCUUCUGAAUAAUAAAUUACCUGCACAGUAAAUUACAUCAACAAAGCAAAGAGGACUGGAAAGGAAAAGCACUCUUUCAGCCCGGCGCUGAAAUAGAUGUGCGAAACAGACAUAGAUAAGAGCUGUAUAUCUCCCACCUGAGGCAAAGGACGAUGGACUUUACCCUGAGAGACAGAUAGCCAAUGAGAACUGAGAGUCACUUGUACAACAGAGAGACAAUCCAUUUCAUUAAAAUAAGUUCAUCAUGCCUGUUGUCGUCACGCACCAAGACACCUUGUGAAUAUGUGAGCAGGAUGAAAGAAG